rnacentral:rRNA from 1 species
CUACGGGAGGCUCCAGUAAGGAACAUUGCGCAAUGGAGGCAACUCUGACGCAGCCAUGCCGCGUGCAGGAAGAAGGCCUUAUGGGUCGUAAACUGCUUUUAUUUAGGAAUAAACCCCCGAACGUGUUCGGGGCUGAAGGUACUAAACGAAUAAGCACCGGCUAACUCCGUGCCAGCAGCCGCGGUAAUACGGAGGGUGCAAGCGUUAUCCGGAUUUAUUGGGUUUAAAGGGUGCGCAGGCGGGCUAUUAAGUCAGUGGUGAAAUCCCGGGGCUCAACUCCGGAACUGCCAUUGAUACUGAUAGUCUUGAGUUUGGUUGAAGUGGGCGGAAUGUAGCAUGUAGCGGUGAAAUGCAUAGAUAUGCUACAGAACACCAAUCGCGAAGGCAGCUCACUAAGCCAAAACUGACGCUCAUGCACGAAAGCGUGGGGAUCAAACAGGAUCAGAUACCCCAGUAGUC